rnacentral:lncRNA from 1 species
CCCAAAUACAUCACAAAGCAAAUAUUUCACAAAGAGAAUAAAACUAGUCUAAAUAAAUUCAAAGGCAAUCUACUAGGAUGUCAUCUGAAUGUGAAGGAAAAAAUUCAUGGCCGGAGCUCGUCGGAGCCAAGGGGAAGGAUGCGGAGGCUAUAAUCGAGAGCGAGAAUCGUUUAGUCAAUGCCGUGAUCGUGAAAAAAGGAUCAUUUGUCACUAUGGAUUAUCGAUGUGAUAGAGUUUGGGUUUGGGUCGAUAAAAAUGGAAUUGUCACCCAGAUCCCUAUAAUUGGUUAAUUCAUAUAUGUGAUGUUAUGUGAACAUAGUGUAAUAAGAAGUUGUAUCCAUCUCCAUGCAUCAGUAUUAUAUUGAUAAUAGUAAAUUAUUUCCCUUUCUGCAUCUAUGUUAUAUGGUUCGAUAAAGUUGACAGUUCGUUAUUCUUCUUCUCUGUACCCUUUGUUUUGUUCCACCCUCAAAGCAGUAGCUCAUGGCUUGUUAAGCUCCGAUGUUGACCACUAAUUCCAUUGGUGAGAUUGGUCCAUUCGACGCUGUGAGUAUAUGAAAUAGGUUCGUAGUUGUAGUCAGUUAAAAAUAGACUUACUUUUUGCAGUGCCCGUGAAACUCAAUUUUAAUUUUACUCUGCUAUCCAAAACUUAAUUUGCGUCACUUGAUCCUCCAAAAUUAAUUUUUUUAAUCACUCUGACAUUUUUCAUCAAUUUUGUAAGAAAAAUCCGUGAAGUCUUGGACCUGGCACAAAUGGGCCCCCACAAGGUAGUGUUAUUGCAUCAGUUUUUAUAUACACCGAUUCCCUAAUGUAAGGGAGGGGAUUUAACCUAAGCCCACAUAGGCCACCAUGUUUGAAAUUAGGUAUCGAAUUCACGAGUUGAACUCAAUAUCUUUUACUUAAAAAUAAAGAGAAAUAUCAUUACACCGUAAUGUUAGUGAUAAAAUCCUUACCAUAAGUGAAAUGUACUAGUGGAGUGGGUGUUCGUAAAUUAACAUGAAAUUAACGGAAUUGAAGAUUUUAAUAUUCUAAAAUGACCUUUUUAAUAGCAAGUUAACAGAAUUGACCGCAUUAGCUAAUAGAGUAAGACAUAUGGACCAAAUUGAUCAAAUUGAAAACACGAGGACUAAAUUGAUUGAACAUGUAAAAUGCAUGAACCAUUUUGAUCAUGCAUGGACGUUGAUACGAAUAUAGUAUUAAUAGUGUAGAUAUUGUUUAUACGAUGCCUAUAUGAUAGCUAUAUUACCUAAAUAUAGGCAUUAUUAUUGAUAUAUUUUGGAUACACAUUCUUUUCACGUAAUAUUGUUGAUAAUCACUGUAGAUAGUUGCCAAUAGGGAAUUGUUAUGUCGGCGAUAUGUCGUGGGUAUUUCUCUCAAAUUCUCCUUCGCACCUUCGUCUUUUUCAUCUACAUCUCCAUAGAUUUCUCAAGCACCUCCUAGCUUUCAUUGUCUUCCAUGGUUACCAAUAACGAAUAUCCCUAUCCAAUUUCGGAUUAACAUAAUGUAAAACUAAAAGAUGACAAAGUGAAUUAAUUAGUGAAUCUAGUACAAAUCGAAUCACAUUAAUCAAGACAAAAUUCCUUUUUACAAACUUGCCCCCAUCCAUCUGCUCAACCAAAUAAACACCCAACCUCAACAACCCAAUUCCAGAAAAAAGCAAAAAAUAAAAAAUAAAAAGUCCAGUCAAAGCAAUAAGCUUUAAACCCAAUGAUUUACAUGAGAGACACAAUUGCAAAGAUGAAGAUGAAGAUGAAAAUAGCGUGUAACAAACUCAGUUUCCGUGCCUCCACCAUGAGCAUGAAGUUGAAGUUUCCGUGUAACAAAAAGUCUUUCCAAUGUCUAAAAUUUCUUAUAACAGCAACGAGCUUAAGACUUCCUAUUUCGGCAGCGCCCGGCCGUUCAGUUUUAAAUGCAGCCAAACUCCCUAUAUUUGAUGUCCAAAUUUUGUCAACUAUGUCUAUCAUCAAAGGACGUACGUGUAUCUAACAAACAAGUAUUCAUAAGCGGCAAUAAACUUGACUUCGUCGUUAUUCACAAAUUGCACCUUAAGUUGUCUUUAUUUUUUUACCAAAUAUACUUUCUUUAUUUCAAACCAAAACUUUAUAUUCUUCAUUUUGCUUCCACAUGUUAAGGCCACCGAUCGUGAACCAUAAAAAGACCCUAAAGCGAAUCUUGGAUAUGCCACCGAUCAUUUUGCUUUGGCAUCAAAUAAUUUUAUAAAAUUGUAACGUAUUAGGGUUUAAAAUAUGAAGUUUUAACGAAACAAUCUCGAUACUAUCCACUUUAACAAAAAAUGACAUUUUUACUCUAAAAAGUCACUCAUGUUACGAUUCACUUACAACACAUUUUUGUCAUUUUGAUUAAAACUCAAAGUUUUCAAAUCAUUUUCAUUAAUUUUUUUUUUUUAAAUAUCGAUAUAGUUGGAAAUAUCAAUGUGCAAAUUUCUAAAAAAUAUCGAUGGAAUUAUCGUUAUUGGUUGCCUUCGACGGAAAUUAUGAAAAUUUGUAAUGAGCAAAGCAUAUCAACUCAUUCAGAUUUAAUUGAAACUAGAGAAAUUUUCUCAAAAAAAUUCAAAUGUUCAAAAUCUGCAAUGUGUUUUGGCAACAUUAAUUUUUGUAUGUAUGAAUAGGUAAAUAUCGUCGAGAUUCAUUGAUCUUCCUAUAUUUUGUCGAUAUAGGAUGAAGUUUGCAUUUCACCCAGUUUCCAUAUCGAUCCUUAAAUUUCCGGAUAUUUCAAAGAAAAUACUGACCAUUUCAUGAAUAUUUCAAACUCUGAUAAGUAUACAAAGCAGAGUUUCUAACUAACAUUCAAAUGUAUAGUCAAUAAUGACAACAAACCAUAAGCUAUCCAGUUGUAUAUGCACUUCUAUAAAUAUGCAUCUAUCUCUUCCUCUUCCUUAAGCUAAUACAUCACAAACAAUAUAUCUUACAAGAGAGAUCAGACAAGUACUCAAACGAAAAGCGAGCGAGGAUGGCAUCUGAGCAAUGUGAGGGCAGUGAAGGUAUGUAAUGAACAAGUAUAUGUUUAAUAUAUAGAGUGCGCGCGCGCGCAUGUAAUAGUACAAUUGAUUGCAGUCUAAUUACUUAAUUCAUAUUAAAAUAAUGCAGGUAAGUAUGUAUGGCCUGAGCUGUUGGGAGCCAAGGGUACCGUUGCGAAGGCAACAAUUAAGAGGGAGAAUUCCACUGUCAAGGUUGAGAUCGUGGUAGAAGGAACCAUUGUACCAGCAGAUUUGCGAUGUGUAGCUGAUAGGGUUCGUGUUUGGGUCGAUACAGAUGGCUUUGUUACUAGGGUGCCUAUCAUUGGUUAACUUAAUUAUAUCCAAAUUAUAUAUUGGGUUCUUGUAAUCCUAUGUUUGUACUUUCUCUAAUGCAAAUAAGGAGUCGUAGUAUUCUCCAUGCAUUGAAUUUUUCUUCCGUGUACUCCUAUAUGAAGCUCAAUAUGUAGGAUUCAAGUUGUUUUGGUAUCCUCAUUUGUUUUUCUCUCUGUUCAACUUCAUCAAAGUAUAGAUUAAGAAAAAAUAUUCGGAUAAUCAUGUCAUCCUUACAUGCACACACGCUCCCACAUUGCCAUCGAGUCCUCAAAUCUCGUCGGGACUUUCAACUUGGUUAAAAGAAAAAUAAGACACUUACCAAUUAUUACAACUGAAGAUUUCUCAAACGAACCCAUCUCUUGAUUCUCAAACAAACCAACACGAGUUAGUGAAACUCAAAUUAAAAAGCAAAGUACAAAAUUACGAGCAUGUUUGAAAUUGCUUUUGGAAGAUGUGUUUAAUUAUCUUCAAAUUUGACCGACCCAAUUAAUUUCAAUCAAGUCACGUAGACAUCUCUCAAGUAAUUUUGUCUUCCCUUGAAUCUGAAUGAAUUAUGAACGAUUUAGGUUGGACCUAUGGUUAAUGUAUUGUAGAGCUAAACCCUAAAUAAUUUGGAUCUCUAUAUUUUCUAUAUUUUUUGUGAAUGUAGCUAAAUAAUUUAGUAAUUCAAUAGGUCUUAAAAAUCCAAACAAAUCCUUAAUUAUUUCACCUUCGUAGGAUCAAGCCCUAUAUCGAUAAUCGUGUGGAUAUAUAGCAUGCUGAAUUGAACAAUUAGAUAAUAAAAAAAUGAUGUGAUAUUCACACACCCCAUUUUACUUCUCUCAUACCUUUUUAAUUUUCGACCGUCGGAUCUGAUGAAUUGAAGAAGAUCAACGAACAGAAAUUAUCAAGGGGUGUGUGAGAAGUAAAAUAGGAUGUGUAGAUAGCACAUCCCUAAAAAAAAUCCAGUUGUUUUGCAUGAAAGUGUUUUCCAACCUCAUUAAAACAUAACACUUGGCAAGUGCCAGCUGAAUUAGGUCCAAUAUUUGGGAACCGGAUCCCCUAUGGAUCCAACCAUGCUGAGCCCCCUAAUUAAUGCAUCUGGAUUAUUGAAAUUUGAUUCAACGGUUACAAUUAUUAUAACUUUUAGAAUAGCUCCCUAUUUGUAGUCGUUGAAUCAAAUUUCAAUGAUCCGAAUACAUUGAUUAGUGGGCUCAACAUGAUUGGAUCCGGUUCCGGCCCGUAAUGCAUUCAAAUAUUGCUUUUAUUAAUGACUUAGGUUACCAUAUUAAUGAGGAUUCGACGACUAAACAGUGUCCACCCAUUUAAUCUAGCUUUCAUCCCGUUAGCUUUUAAUAAAACUAAACAAAAUAGUCAAUGAGUAAUACGGUUUAGUUGUAUUUCUCUUCAUUUGUAAGAGACGAAAUAAAAGUACAAAAACUAGCAGCCACCGUGUCACCACCCACACUAAUAUCGGCAGUCCCCGCCGCCAGCAACAUAGUCACCCACGUCAGCGGCUAUCCCUACUCUUACUUGCCGUCGCCAAAAGCCGUCUCCAUCUACACUUUAUAAGUUUUAACGUUGCAGAAGGUUACAAUUAAAUAGCUCAAAGGAUUUUUUGGGCCUUUUAAUGUUAGGUACCAUAACCAUUUACUUCGACUAGGGCUUUGUUUCCAUGGAAUGUACGCACUGGCGCAUGUUUCGGAUAAAUACUAAGAUUACAUUACAUCAACCCUUCCUUUAGAGUGAUGGAUCCGUACUCAAACCCAGAGCUUGUUACGGCGGUACCCUCCUGCUUUUAGGCUUCAUUUCAUUUGUUUAUACAGAGAAAUGACGGUCGAGAAAAAACAUAGAAGAAGUCUGUCAGGCUCUACCGUAUUUCUCAACAUAAACAAAUGCAUUGGAUCCGUGAUAUUCAUAUUUAUGCGAUCUCUUUUCUUUUAUUUCCAGUUGCUAAUUUGUUCUGCACUUGUCUUUUCGUGUAGAGAAUCUAAGUGAGUAGAAAUUUUAAUUAUAAAUUUUAUUUAGAUGUUUUUUGCAUAUGUCCAGACAAGCUGUGUUCGUGUAUAUUUAUGUGUCCAGACUUGCUCAUAUUUUGAUCUUUUAUGAUUUAAUUUUACAGGUUUUGAGUUAUUUCAACUUAUUAAAUCUCUUAAAUAUCAAAAGGUCAAUGCUCCCAAGUGACAUGUUUGAUCCAAGUGGUGGGGAUUUAAUUGCAACUUGGUGUUGGGUUCUUACUGUCUAUAUGAUAUUUGAAGAUAAAAUUAUGGCGGGCUGUACAUGAUACGAUAUUGGGUUUUGACCAUGACGAUUAGUUGGUAGUGUUAUCAAAUGUGAUGACACAUGUAAAUUUAAAAUGUUAUGGGUUUUUUGGCUCUCGGUUGUUCAUGUGCUACUUGCAUUGGUAAUAUGAGCAGUCUUGCUAAUUGAUGCUAGCGAAACUAGGCAUGACAUAAACUAGUAGAAUCAGUGAAUAAAUAUCCAGUUAAAAAGAACUGUUUUUUAGGAUAUUGUGAUUAGUGGUUUGUUGAUUUGCACUCGACUUGAAGAAUUGUUAGGAAAUUCAUCUGAUCCUCGAUUCCCUCUAAAGAACAAGCGUGAAACAAUAGAGAUGCAGUCAAAAAGUACAAAAGUAAACCAAUCACACAACAUGAAUGUACUAGAUUUAUUCAAUAUGAGCAACGUCUGAGGUUUGUUAGCUAAAAGAUAUUCGAUAGGAAAACAGAUACAAGCGCUCAAGUGUUUCCUCACUAUCAUUCAUAGUUAGGGUUUCUAAGUACUUAUAUAAGACUUUAUUUGAGUUAGAUGGAUUAGAAUAGGAAUAAAAUGAGGAAUCAUAUCACAAGUAAGAAUCCAAAAGAACCAAGCUUGGGGCUAAAAGAAUAACUAUGCAUCUGAAUACUCGGCCUAAACUGAUGAAGAAGAAGACAUUAAGGUUUUGGGGGGUUGGGCUAAGGCCUGGUUUGGCACUAAAGUGAUUCUGAAAAAAAAAUGGUAUAAAAAAAAUCUGGGAGCUGUUUUUGUGUUUGGUAAACAUUCAGCUUCAGCUUUUUUUUCAUAGUUUUGGGUGAAAAAAGCAAAAAACAAGAAGUUGCAAAACCCAGCUUUGAAAAACAAGCUUUUUUUCACAUCUGUUUUACAUAAAAGUUUACUAAUCACUAUAAUACUGCUUUUUUUUCUUUUCAAAAGCACUUUUACAAAAAAGUUUACCAAACACUCUGCUGCUUUAUUUCAUAGUUGUUUAUUCUCACAGCAUAGCAGAAGCAGCUUUUUUUUCAAAGCACAGCAAUACCAAACCAGCCCUAAGAGGGGCUAAAGUCUGAGGGGCCUAAAAGCAGCUGUUCACAUUCAAAUGAUGGUGUCACAAAAUCGUUUAGUCAUCUAAUUGUUAUCUAACAAAUAGACGAACUAUGUUCCUCAUUUAAUUACAACAUUAAUCAAAUAGUAACAAUUUUUAAUUUGGUUGAUAUUUUUCUUAGUUCAUCUUUAUAGGGUGAACUAAAAAAUGAAUGAUUUCGAUUAUCAAACAACAUUGCAGGAUGAGUAAAAGAGCCGAGAAGGCUCAUUUGAGAAGAUUGCUAGCAUCCCACUAUUUUUUUGACCUGCAACAAAAUUAAAUUGACUUUUUUUUUUAAGAAAAAUUAAAUUGACUUUGAAUAUAUUGUUGAAUUCAAACAGUUUUGUAUUUGGUAACUACUAUUGACCAAAAUUUUAUCAUUCCUCGUUUUGCAAGUACAUGCAUGCUCAUCCGGAUCGAAAAAGAUAGACUACACAAUCUUGGCGGUACGGUUUGUACACACAUUACGUUUGAAAACAAAUCAUAUUAACGUUCGGCCUACGCAACACCAGAGUCAGUAACAACCAACUACUAUCCAUUAAAUGAUACCAAUAUAAAUGCACAUUUCUUCCCCACCCAAAUGCAUCACAAAGCAAUACUGCACACAGAGAGCAAAACUAGUACUCUAGAUAAAACAAAGGCGAUCUGCUAGGAUGUCAUCUGAAUGUGAAGGGAAGGAUUCAUGGCCUGAGCUCGUCGGAGCCAAGGGGGCAGAGGCGGAGGCAACUGAUAUGAUUUUUUAGAACCUACGGAAAUAGGGUUAAAAUCACAUGAAAUACUUGCAAGAAUACAAGGAUAUUGUAGUAUAGAUGUUCAUGAUAGGUCGUUCUCCUCAAAGGCUAUUUUAAUAAUUUAUGUAAAAAUACUUCCUAAUUAACUGCUUAGAAUUAAAAAUUGAGAAAAGAGAUUUUGGAAUUGGAUAAUAUUAAAAACGAAUUUUAAUUAAAAAUAAAUAUGAUAAAAGAAAAGAGUUUUAAAUACCAAUUUAGAAAAGCACUAGGGUUUCACCAUUACCUAGCAAUCCUAUGAAUUUUUACCAAAUUACUUAUGAUUUUUAUUCCACUUUGAAGGUUAGGUUUUCCUAAUUUAUAUUCUACUUGGAACCUUCAAACAUAGAACGUAUAUCUAACAUGCAAUCCGUUCGGACGUUCGGAUCAAAUCUGAACAUGAAAGACUCAUUAUGCUUUAUGAAAACCCUUUGAAAAACCAUGCAACCCUUAAGACGUGGUGUUCAUCUUAAGUGAAAUUACGUACAAUUAUUAACCACAAGAAGCUAGAGCCAAUUUUAGGGGAACAUUCCGACCAAAAUUGCAUCAAAUUACUUUUCUAAAGAUCCUAAUGGUGGCCAAUCAUCAAGACAAUUAGAUAGUUUAAAACAGUGAUCAAUAAUUCAAAGCGUGCAUGCAAUCAAUCAUAAGCAAUUAAAUAAAAAUUACAUAUUCAUGUUAAGGCUCAAGGCUUCGCCCUAGCAAAACGAAUUAGUUACGCAUAUUCAUAAUUAAAAUCAUAGAAAAUAUCAUUAUAAAGAAAAUGAUUGAAAACACCUUAAAGUAGAAAAACUUCAAGAACCCUAACAAUUCUCUAUGUCUCCAAAGUUGCAUAAAACAAACGUGCCUGACCCUAGCACCGGCCAAACCUUUUAAAAACCCCUCCUAUUCGCGCAAUCCUAAGAGUAAAAUAAAUAUAGACUUUUGUUCCAACUAGGAAACUAAAUAACAAUAAAAUAUCUUAGAAAAUAAAGUUCUAAUUAAACAGAAUCUGCAAGGAAACUGUCAAGCCACGUUUUAGCCUCAAAUCUCCUCCAAAUCUGGCCCAAGAUAGCUUUUUUUUUUUUUAAAGAUAAGAACGUUCUGAACACAUCUCCAGAAGGCCAUGAACCCAUCAGAGGCCAUCUUGGGCUUCAAAAAUGCAAUUCAAGCCGAGAAACGUCACUUUCUAGCACUGCGCACUGCUUCUUUAUUCUAUCGACAUAAAAUAACCGCUUGUUGGAAAAAUCUAAUAUUUGAUAUGACCAAGCUAAGUGACUCACGAACAUCCUCCAAUUAGAAUUACUCCAAAAUUCAUCCAUUUGACUAUGUUUCGCUCCAGAGGAAGUCGAAAAUCCUAUAUUGAAAAUACAAUUCAAAGUAUCAAAAUUCCUCCAAAAUAUUAACCAAAAUAUACUAAGAAUAGGGUUAAGUAUAUAAUAUAAAAUCCACUCAUCAGCAACCAUCGAGAGUAAUAAUCAUUUAGUCAAUGCUGUGAUUGUGAAACAAAGAAUGUUUGUCACUGCAAAUUUUCGAUGUGAUAAGGUUCGAGUUUGGGUCAAUAAACAUGGUAUUGUUACCAGGGUCCCUGUAAUUGGUUAAUUCAUACAUGCAAGGAUAGGUGAAACAAUGAAAUAAGGAGUUGAACUAAUAAUCUCCAUGCAUCAAUUGUAUUGAAAAUAAAAAUUAUAUUUAUGUUUUUCUGUAUGACAUAUAUGUGUGUGUGUGUGUGUGUGUGUGUGUGUGAAGCUAAAUAUAUAGCAAUGGUUUGUUAACGUUGACAGUAUUUAUUUUUGUUCUUCUCUUUACUUCUUGUUUUUGUUCCAACCUCAAAGUAAAAGUGCACUUCCAUUGGUACUGAGAUUGAUACUCACAAUAAAUAUUAAGGUAAAUUACACUUUACCAUCUCAAGUUUUGGUCGAUUUCAAUUCCUUACAACAUCUUUAAAAUAUUUCACUUUCAUACCUUAAGCACUAUUUUAUUUCAAUAUAAUACAUCCGUUACAUUUUCCAUCCAUUGAUUCGUUAAGAGCUGACGUGACUGCCACAUUUGUGCCACGUGGCUGCCAAAUGUGUGCCACGUGGCAAUUUUUUUUUUUUUUAAAAAACUUGAAUCUUCUCAAAAAAAUUAAAAAAAAAUUAAAAAAAAAAGAAAGAAAGAAAGAAAAGAAAACUCAGAACCCACCCCUACCCCCACCUCCCUCGCAACCCCUCCACACCCUUAUUCUCCAUCCCUCUUAUCUCCUCUGCAACUCGCACCCACCUUCUUCCUCUCUCUGCAACUCCAGGGCCUCCAAUCCACCUUCAUCGGCGCCGAGCCCAGCCUCUACCUUGAGCUCUGCUCGGCACCCACUCACCGUUCUCCCCCAUCCGAACCCUGCUCCCCUAACCUGCACUCGUAGCCCCACCGUUCGUGACCCAACCAGGAUGUUCUCGAUCAAUGCGGCCAAGUUGACUCGGACCUCCAUGGAGGGGUGUUGCACAAGAUGAGACAGGUAGGCGACCCAGUCCGGAUCCGACGCCACCACAGCGCAGUCAAACUCAGGGAGUGGGAAUAGAACGAGAAGCGCAAGCGCCUCGUGAGUCAACUCGGACGAUUCGAAAUUGGUAUCGGAGAACACGAGCUCAUGGAGAAUUUCGCGGGAGUUUUGAGUGGGUGGAGUAGGGGGUUGCGGGGGAGGUGGAGGUGGAGAUGGAGAUGGGGUGGGGUUGGAUGGGGUGGAUUUUUGGAUGGGAGGGGAGGUGAAGAGAGUGGAGGAGAGGGAGGUGGUUGGGAUGAGAAGGAGGGAGAAGAGGGGUGCGGAGGGGUUGCGGGGGAGGUGGGGGUGGGUUUUGCGUUUUCUGUAUUUAUUUUUUAUUUUUAGAAGAUUCAAGUCUUUUUAAAAAAAAAUUAAAAAAAUAUUUUUUUACCACGUGGCACACAUUUGGCUGUCAUGUCAGCUGUUAACAGAUCUAUGGAUAGAAAAUGUAACAGAUGUAUUAUAUUGAAAUAAAAUAGUACUUGAGGUAUGAAAGUGAAAUGUUUUAAAGAUGUUGUAAGGAAUUGAAAUCGACUCCAAACUUGAGGUGGUAAAGUGUAAUUUACCCUAAAUAUUAUGACGUCAAAUUUUUGUAUGCACAUGACUGCUUUAGUAAGUUACCAGCUCUACAUUUUUCUUUUAUAAUUUGGAAGACUGCUUCUUUUCCAAAUGAUGAGGCGUUUUGCUGAGCUCUCAAAUCAUCCUUUUUUUUUCGAAUAAUUUUCAAGUUAAUUAUAGGAUGGUGCUAUUCAUACACUAGUGUUUCAUCUUUCACAUACACCUUUUAAUUAUCGACUAUCGGAUCGAAUAAAUUGAAGAUGAUCAAAUGAUAUAAAUUAACUGGAGGAGUGUACAAGGUAAAAAAGGUGUGUGAAUAACAUCACCCUAAUUAUAUACCAAAAUCCUAUAACAGGUUUAGUCAAAUGCAGUUGUAUGGCAAUUGUUUUUAAAUUUGAGAAAAUGCCACUAAUUUAUGAAGAAACAGUUCCCCAAAAUUUAUGAAAAAACAGUUGCCGAUGUCUGGAUUUUCAAAUAAGGGAGUCAUAAUAUCAACCAAAAAAGCUUCAUUGAGCCAUUUCGUCGAACACCCAGUAGGUACCUGUUAAUUCUUACCAACAUAUGCUCAAAGCUUAUGCCGACAACUACUAUUAUUUGUAGAGGCUUGUUGAUGGUGGAUGCAGGAUACUAUGGAGUAUUAUUGAAGACUGCCAAGACUUAUCAACUAAGGUAUAUCAUCGAGCACAUGGUGCUCACAAUAGAAUCGCACACAAGAAGGAGAAAAGGAAGACAAAUAUGAUAGAAGAAAAUAGAAUAAGUAGAAGGCGGAGACUGUAAUUUAGUGUGUCUUAGCUAUUUAUAGUGGUUAAAUACAAUACACAAACAAAUAUACAUGGGUUUUUGAAGUUUUUGGUGUCAAGGACAACCAAUGACCCCAUGCUGGCUCCGCCAUUACGGUGUCACCAAACUUCAACUUAUUUACAAUAUUACCACCGUACUCUAAAUUCAAUAUUAUUACGAUAAUGCCACUGCUUUCUUGUUUUUAUCCUUAUUAUUAAAAGUUCACUAAGUGUUUUCAUUAAAAAUUUGUUGUAUGAAGCCUAUUUCAUUAAAAGGUCAGAAUAACUAUAUUAAAUUUGGGGCACUGUGGGAGUAUCAUAAUGCAGUCGAAGGACAAAAUUUUAAGAAGAGAAUAAGCAUCGAGGAGGGGAGGAGAUUCUUGCAUCCCAAAGUUAAAGAUGCAUUUUGUGAGAGAGCAAGAUAGCUUUCGGCAGAGCCUAGUUUUUAAGGAAAACUAAUGAAAAAUGUUUGAAAACUUUGAGUUUUAACGAUAAGGAGAAAAUAAAGGAUAAAGUGAAUAGUACCAGGAUUGAUUUUUUAGUGUAAAAAUGUGGUUUUUCGUUAAAGUGAAUAGUACCAGGAGUUUUUCGCUAAAGUUCCCUAAUUUUUAUUUAGAAUUGCAAUAAGAAAAACCCUCUCAUCUUCUUAGAGAGAGACAUUUUUGUAUUACGUGAAAAUUCUACGAGUGAAUCAAUUUCUUAUCUUUGAUGCCUCUGCAUUUCUGCAUUGAUCAUAUUGUAUGAGACUGUUUUUCCACGCUUAUCAAUCUACACUACAUUUUAUAAAUCUGCUCAUGAAUUGUUGACUCCAUUCAUCUUACCUCAUAUAGUUUAUUUGAUUAGAGCUACAUUGUUUAUGUAAGUGACACAAAUCUACUUCAUGCAAUCAUAUAUAUUUAGUGUGUAGGUUCUUUUAACUUAAUUGGAUUGAUGUGCUAAUCUGAGAAUAGUAAGUAGAUUUGAAAGAACAAGCUUGGUUGAAGAUAAACGAAGGUAUCUGCCUUCUUCUGCAAGAAAGAGUCGAAAAUUGCACUGCAAAAGAGAGCAGAGCUUCACAGGUACUAGUUGCCACUUCGGAGUAGCAUCACCACCUCAUUUUAUGUCUUUCAUGUAUCAUGCAUCAAUGUACAAGGAAAAUGCUAUAGAGACUACAUUUUUGUACAUUCAUAUACCAUAUGAUGCACUUGCCACAUCAAUUAAUGAAUUUAUUUCAUUGGAUGGUUGAUUGUAUACAUCAUUUGCCACGUAAGAUGGUAUUCUGAGGCAGCAUCAUAUGUGGUCUUCCUAGCAAUAUAUAUAUGGAAUAAAUUGAAGCAAAUUACAAAAUAUAGGGGGUCUGGACGUUGGAAUACAUUACAAAGUAAGCCUUACAAAAAGGGUGUCAAAAUAUGUGUCAAAAACAUGUGUCCCUGGACCGUAACACCCCCCCCCCCCAACAAACACACACAUAUAUAUAUAUUAUUAUCAAUGCAUAAUAAGAAAUGUAAAAAGAUAAAAUCUGAUAUGGCCCCACACACACACACAUAUAUAUUAUUAUCAAUGCAUAAUAAGAAAUGUAAAAAGAUAAAAUCUGAUAUGGGUGGGAUGGGAUUGAACUAAGCUAUGAAAAUGGUUGGAGGCAGCUAAUGCCGUGAGGGAAAAGCUUCCCCAUCUCAAAUUUGGGCUUAUGUUUGGAGAAAGUUUUGGAAGGCACCUACCAGUAUACCACAUAUUAGUCUGAAUAGUCUCACGUUUUUUUGUAUAAUUGAGUGUCAAGAUUGUCUUGAGAUACAUCAAUCAACUUAUGUCAAUGUUUACAUUAGAAUUACAAAUCGCGAAUCGGUAUGAGAAGAAAUGAGUGUGAAAGAAAAAUAGGUAAAGGAUAAACAAUUUUUUCUUGGUUAUCACUUACCUAAUUUUUCAUGUAUGACAAACCUAAAAAGCGGAAAACAUAUGACAAUAUUUUUUUCAUGUUUUGAUUUUUUUUUUAAACAUUGAUAUUAUCUACAUUAAGGGAUUGUAGAUGGGGAGUGGACUAAGUUUUAUAAUAGGCUAACAAUAAUAUGGUUUAAAUUCGUUUUUGGCGAAUAUCGAAUCUAAAACCUCUCACUUAUAAGUGAAAAUAAAUAUCACUAAACUAUAGUACUACAAUUCUUUUUUUUCAUUGAAGUUCAUUUUUUGUAUGUACACUUCUAAUAAUUUGUAGAUUACUGAAUAUAAAUAAAGGAAACAAACUCAAGAUCGAACUAAAAUGAUGAGUUUUGCCCAUCUCUAAGAUUACAUUAGGAAAUGUUGAAUUAUCAUUGUAUUACGAAUUUCACCUUUCUAAUCAAAGGAUUUUAGGUAAGUGGUCAUUUACCAUAGUGGUUGAGAAAUGUUGAGUCCUUACAUGAUGACAUGAGUUCAAACUUCAUCGAUGACUAAUUUAAUAAAUCUAUCAUUUGACAAAAAAAAAUAAAAAAAAUCAAAGGUUUUCAGAACCCGAUCGAUAGGAGACUGUUGGUCAUACUUGGAAUUAAAUAAUUCUGUCACAUGAGCUUUUCCCGCCCGCCACCCUUUUCCAAUUUUAUUACAUGCAUUUCAGACUUUGUCAACACUUAUCAUCUAAAAGUAGGUACAUCGAUCGUACGGAUAAUAAGAUUUCAUGAACGUCAAUUAAACUGACUUUGUUGUUAAUUUAUUAUGUUGACCAAAUGCCAUUCUUGAUUUUCAUACCAAAUAUUAUUUUUCUUCUUCUUCAUCUUUAAAUUUGUCAAAGCGAGUAAAUAUAAUUAUUUGAUUUAGCAUCAUCCGGUCUUUUACUAGUUAAAAAUAAUUUUGGAUUCAAAACUUAUGAACAGUAGUUGAUUAUGUUUUCCCAUUACAUUAAUGAAAGCAAACAACCUACGUAAUUAACAUGCAAAUAGUCAAUUAUAACCAACCACAAGCUAUCGAAUGAUUCACCAUAAAUAUGCAUCGAUCUCUUCCUCAUGCCAAAUACAUCACAAGCAAUAUUUACAAGGACACAGAAAUAUAUUCAUAGAGUGAAGAAAUCUGCAUUUAUUCAAAAUAAAACGCGAAUAUGUCGUCUGAGUGUGAAGGUAACGAACUAGUUCGAUUGUACAAUUUUAUAAAUUAACUUAUCAGCUUGUUGUUUAUUUAGAAGAACUUGUUUAAGCUUAUCACGGCGUUGUUUAAACUAAUGCAGGUAAGGCUUCAUGGCCUGAAUUAUUGGGGACUCAGGGGACAGUUGCAGAGGCAACAAUUGAGAGGGAGAAUCCUUUGGUCGACGCCGUGAUUGUGCUACAAGGAACAAUUGUCACCGAUGACUUCCGGUGUGAUAGGGUUCGUGUUUGGGUCGACACAGACGGAAUUGUUGUCGACGUCCCUGCAAUUGGUUAAUUCAGAAUUCAAGGGCACUUCAGGGGCGACUAGUUCUCUUUUAAAGAAGUGUUUGAAGAAAAUUAUAUGAAAUAAUGGAAUAAGGAGAUCUAUAAAUUCUCCAUGGAUUUAUGCUUUCUUCUCUUCUACGUAUUCUACAUGAAGCUAAAUAAAAUGGUUGCAAAUUAUUUUCUCCUCAGUUCUUAUUUUGGAACCCAAUCUGAAAAACCAUCGGGGAGGCUGAAAAAUUCUAAUAUGAUUAGUGUAUCCUAUAAACCAGAGCAUACUAGAAAUUAGAUUCACCUUCAGAGCACUAAAAGAACAAAUAUAAUAACGCUACUCCACAAUUGAACUCUUUUUCUCCAGGAAAAGUAAGUCCUACUAAAAGCAAAGACCAUGUUCAAACAAGUUUCUACAAAUAUAACAUGACUGCACAUGAGGGGGAAUCUAAACAAAUACCAUAUCGUCAAUCGUCUGAAACUCGAAUAUUAUAACGGCGUGCCAAACGACGAGCAGUUCCAUCAGACAUCACGCUAUCUACCAUUUCAUACUUCUUAUAAUUUGCUUUUAGGGUCUCGUUUUGCAUCUUUGCAAGCUUCUCUUCUUCCUCCAGCUGUUUCUUGAGCAAAAAAGCAGCUUCUGCAGUAUGCCUUCCAUGCAGUUCCUUCAGUUUCUUUGCCACUUCAAAAUUAGGAUCUUCUGGCUCCAACCAAUGACACUCUAUCUGUCUUCCAGGCAUAGCAGGGCGCUCAUCAAACAUGUUGGCCACAGCAGGACGUGCCCUCACAGGCCUUGGCAUCCCCAAAAUCAUGAAAGGGAAUUCCGCUAUCUCCUUGACAAUGACACUGGCUUGCUUCGGAUUUUCCAUCUCGACCAGUGCACAGUGUGGGAUGUUCCUUGAUUCCAAGUAAUUUGGAAUGAACUGAACACUUUUCACGUUCCCAAACUGAGAAAGUGCAGUUCUCAUAACAGAUUCGGUGACCUGGGGUGAGAUGUUAUCAAGGUAAACAGUUCGUUUGACCUUCUCCUCAAAUGCAGCAUACUCAGCUUCUGAAGUCCCCAUAUAAUACAAUGUGUGGAGAUCUAACAAGAAACAAAUUUCACAAAGUGAGACCAAUUUUACAAAUUACGAUUUCAAUCCAAAACAAUUACAAAGUACACUGAGCAUUAGGGGUCCAGACUUUUGUCAAAUAUUAUAAACUCCAGGAAAAAUACUGACAAUAUACAUGUCCCUUGUGAGAAAUCCACAAGGAAUUGAUGAAUAUAAACACAUUAUUAUACUCCAUUGCACCCAAAAACAAGUCUUGGAAAUUGGAAUCAUGCGCAUUACCUUUGAAAAUGACUAGUGAUGUACAGAUUGCAUAGACCACAAGAUAUCCAACCCAAAUGGAAAAUCAAAACAAUCUCGAACAUUAUGAAGAAAUUUCAGAUUUGUAAACAUCUUUCUCUGAAUGUAAUAAAUGGAUUCAUGACAAGUAUCGUCUUAUUGCAAGAAAUCUAAUCUAAUUGCAGAUUUAACUAAUAAUCAUCAUCCUAAACAAUGACACUGAUCUACACAAAUGCUACCCUCUCCAUAGACAUGUUGGAAGAAGUGGUAAUUACCAAUUAAAAAACAUUGCUAGUAAAACUGAUGUUCUGCUUCAAUUCAUUUUAAAACUAAUGCACCACAUGGGUAUAUCGCUAAAGAAUUGCCAACUGCACAAUUCCUUGUCCGGAUAGGUAAAAUGCACACUUCCUACUAUAAAAUUUUACAUUGCUAACAGUUAAUUAAUCAUCUUAAAGGUGUUAAAUUCAUGGUGUCUAACUGAACCAAACCUAUCUAAAUCAGGACAGUUUUGUAGUGUUGCAUCAUAAUUCAUGUUCAAAUAGUCAAGAACAUAAACAGAACAGAUAAAUGUACAUUUUCAAUUUUUCUUCAUCCAAACAAUACGGGGCUGAAGAUCAAUAACUCAGCAAGCAGCAACAACUCAGCAGCAGCAGCAGAAACUUCAAAACCCCUAAAUUGAAACAGAAUUUAGUACAUUUCCUUCUCAGAACAACCCUCUAAAACAGAACUAAAAGCCCCCAAAUUGGAUUCAGAAAAACCCUAAUUUUUCAAACCCUAAAUUCGGUUUGAAAACCUCACAUUCAACAUCUAUAACGCACAUGCAAACACAAAGUGAAGUUUAAACCUCCAAUUUAGAACAAAAAUUAAAAAUCCUAAAUUCGAGUCAUAAAACCCUAACUUUAUGAAACCCUCCAUUCAAAAUUCCAAACAAUAGCAUAGAUAUUAGAAAGAUACACAGAAUAAUUACCUUAGAUUCAGCUUCCAACUCUCUUAUAUAGCCUUCAGAAUUCCGGGUUUGGGGUUUUUAUUUUCGAAUUUUGGGAUUUUUAGCCAGGGAAAGAGGGAAUUGUUGGCCAGGAAAAGAGGGAUUCUGGUUCAGUGAAGGAUUUAGGCGUCGCAGUGGUUCAGGAGCUCGAGGAGAAGGAUUGGGGAGGCCGUCGACGGCGAGAGUCGAGAGAGCGCAGGGAGUAACAGAGUGAGGUGUUAAAAACUGAGGAGAGAUCCUACGGCCAAGAUUUUAAUCUGACUAAAUAGAUAUAUAACGGUAAAACUACAAAGUAAAUAUAUUUUACCACUUCAACUUUAGAACAGUAGAAAUGUCUAUGUGAAUCUUUCCAAUUAGUCAAUCCAUCAUAGUUCACAUGAACGCCACGUCAUCAGUUAACAGAAAAACUAACGGAAAACUUAACGGAGGUACGAAACUGUCUCAAAAUUAAGACUUGAGGUAUGACUCUGGAAUGAAAAAAACUUCAUGUACCAAAUGUUAAAAAUCACGAAACUUUAGAAUAGUAAACAAAGAUUAACCCUUAUAAAUUUGUUGCAAGUCAUACAUCUAUUAGUCAAUCCAUCAAAUACUGAACUAUAUUUUCUUACACGACAAUCAAUUGUACCAUGCAGAUACAAAAUAUAUUAUAAAAUAAACAUUAAAAAUCAAAUAAAUGUUAAAAGUAUAAAAAAUAAAAUAAAUAUGAAAAAAAUAUAUUAUCCUCCCAUCAAUUGACAGUGCACUUAGAAGUGAGUUCGAAAAAUUGAAAACCCUAAAAAACCCUCAGAAGUUGAAGAAAUCGAACCACACAAAAAAGCU